rnacentral:rRNA from 1 species
GAUGAACGCUGGCGGCGUGCCUAAUACAUGCAAGUCGAGCGAACGGACGAGAAUCUUGCUUCUCUGAUGUUAGCGGCGGACGGGUGAGUAACACGUGGAUAACCUACCUAUAAGACUGGGAUAACUUCGGGAAACCGUAGCUAAUACCGGAUAAUAUUUUGAACCGCAUGGUUCAAAAGUGAAAGACGGUCUUGCUGUCACUUAUAGAUGGAUCCGCGCUGCAUUAGCUAGUUGGUAAGGUAACGGCUUACCAAGGCAACGAUGCAUAGCCGACCUGAGAGGGUGAUCGGCCACACUGGAACUGAGACACGGUCCAGACUCCUACGGGAGGCAGCAGUAGGGAAUCUGCCGCAAUGGGCGAAAGCCUGACGGAGCAACGCCGCGUGAGUGAUGAAGGUCUUCGGAUCGUAAAACUCUGUUAUUAGGGAAGAACAUAUGUGUAAGUAACUGUGCACAUCGUGACGGUACCUAAUCAGAAAGCCACGGCUAACUACGUG